rnacentral:rRNA from 1 species
AUUGAACGCUGGCGGCAGCCCUAACACAUGCAAGUCGAACGAGUGGCGGACGGGUGAGUAAUGUCUGGGAAACUGCCUGAUGGAGGGAGAUAACUACUGGAAACGGUAGAUAAUACAGCAUACCAUCAGAUGUGCCCCGAUGGGAUUCGCUUGGUGGUGGGGUAACGGCUUACCAAGGCGACGAUCCCUAGCUGGUCUGAGGGGAGGACCAGCCACUCUGGAACUGAGACACGGUCCAGACUCCUACGGGAGGCAGCAGUGGGGAAUAUUUCACAAUGGGCGCAAGCCUGAUGCAGCCAUGCCGCGUGUAUGAAGAAGGCCUGCGGGUUGUAAAGUACUUUCAGCGGGGAGGCGUUACCCGCAGAAGAAGCACCGGUUAACUCCGUGCCAGCAGCCGCGGUAAUC